UGUGCUAGUCGGGGAGGUAGCGGUGCCCUGUAGUCUGCAAUCCGCUUUAGCAGAGAUUAUGUCCUUGACUAAGGCUUUAGUUUGUAAGGUCAGCCUAUGGGCUUUUGAUGUUGACGAUUGAGUCUUGCACAACGGGAACCUGUGAACCGUGUCAGAUCCGGAAGGAAGCAGCACUAAGCAGUCCCUCUCGUGUGUUGCAAGGUAGCUUGAUUUGAGUCAAAACCCGUAGUAACGCUUGGAAGCUACUGUCGAAGUCGGAUGCAC
rnacentral:SRP_RNA from 1 species